CAGCCGCCGCGGUAAUACGGAGGGUGCAAGCGUUAAUCGGAAUUACUGGGCGUAAAGCGCACGCAGGCGGUUUGUUAAGUCGGAUGUGAAAUCCCCGAGCUUAACUUGGGAACUGCAUUUGAAACUGGCAAGCUAGAGUCUUGUAGAGGGGGGUAGAAUUCCAGGUGUAGCGGUGAAAUGCGUAGAGAUCUGGAGGAAUACCGGUGGCGAAGGCGGCCCCCUGGACAAAGACUGACGCUCAGGUGCGAAAGCGUGGGGAGCAAACAGGAUUAGAUACCCGAGUAGUCCCUGUCUCUUAUAA
rnacentral:rRNA from 1 species